UACGUAGGUGGCAAGCGUUGUCCGGAUUUACUGGGCGUAAAGGGCGUGCAGGCGGUUUGUUAAGUGCAGGGUGAAACGCUCCCGGCUCAACUGGGAGAGGUCCUUGCAUACUGGCAAACUCGAGGGAGGCAGAGGAAAGUGGAAUUCCCGGUGUAGUGGUGAUAUGCGUAGAUAUCGGGAGGAGCACCUGUGGCGAAGGCGGCUUUCUGGGCCUUACCUGACGCUGAGACGCGAAAGCGUGGGGAGCGAACCGG
rnacentral:rRNA from 1 species